GGCCGGUUAGCUCAGUUGGUCAGAGCGUCGUGCUAAUAACAGAUGCAGAAAGGUCGCGGGUUCGAUGCCCGUACUGGCCA